AAAUCAAAGUUUUUGGGUUCCGGGGGGAGUAUGGUCUCAAGGCUGAAACUUAAAGGAAUUGACAGAAGGGCAAUACCAGGAGUGGAGCACGGCGCGCGCAGGGGGACUUGUGCUUCUUUUGAAACACAAACGACUCUCGGCAAUGGAUAUCUCGGCUCUCGCAUCGAUGAAGA
rnacentral:ncRNA from 1 species